UACAGAGGAGCCAAGCGUUGUCCGGAUUGACUGGGCGUAAAGCGCACGCAGGCGGAUGCGCGCGUGGGGUGUGAAAGCGCUCGGCUUAACUGAGCGAUGCCACCUCAUACGGCAGGGCUCGAGCCCGUGAGAGGUCCACGGAAUUGCCGGUGUAGUGGUGAAAUGCGUAGAGAUCGGCAGGAACACCCAGGGGGAAACCAGUGGACUGGCACGGUGCUGACGCUCAGGUGCGAAAGCGUGGGGAGCGAACCGG
rnacentral:rRNA from 1 species